rnacentral:tRNA from 3 species
GCCACCUUAGCUCAGUGGUAGAGCAUCCCACUCGUAAUGGGAAGGCCGUCAGUUCAAUCCUGACAGGUGGCUCCA